rnacentral:rRNA from 1 species
GUAACAAGGUAGCCGUACCGGAAGGUGUGGCUGGAUCACCUCCUUU